rnacentral:rRNA from 1 species
UACGUAGGGUGCAAGCGUUGUCCGGAAUUAUUGGGCGUAAAGAGCUCGUAGGCGGUUUGUCGCGUCUGCUGUGAAAACUCGGGGCUUAACCCCGGGCCUGCAGUGGGUACGGGCAGACUAGAGUGCGGUAGGAGAGACUGGAAUUCCUGGUGUAGCGGUGAAAUGCGCAGAUAUCAGGAGGAACACCGGUGGCGAAGGCGGGUCUCUGGGCCGUAACUGACGCUGAGGAGCGAAAGCGUGGGGAGCGACCAGG